AAGAUGCAGCUGAGAUGUCGAGACAUGGAGUGGUGGAUGAGGAGGAGGCAGUUGCCAUCACGAUUAAGACAAAGAGUUCGCCAUUUUGAACGUCAGAGAUGGGCUGCGAUGGGAGGAGAAGAUGAGAUGGAAAUGAUCAAAGACUUGCCUGAGGGGCUGAGGAGGGACAUCAAGCGCCAUCUUUGCCUCGACCUCAUUAAAAAGGUGAGUAAAUGAAAGAUUCUCGCAGAACUUUUAAUCACUUUCCGAAGAGAAAAUAUUUUCUUGUGCAGUUGCCACCGGUCUCAAUGUUUGCAUGACUCACAAUUCAUCAAGAUAAUCAGUUUCUGCGUUUUUCUUUUAAGAGAUUAUUCAUCUCAGUUAUCUCCAACUUUUACGAAAUUCACCCCACACUUGAAUUCUACACAGUUAUGGAAUUUUCUCCAUAACCCUCCAUACCACUUGGAUAAUUUCACUGAAUCAUGAUGAAGAUUCCGUAUUAACUAGAAAAUGACCAAAAGGCUAAAAUAAUGUGUAGAAGUGGAAGACAAUCCUUAUUAUGAGUUAGUUUCUAUAAUUAAUUUAGUCAUAAAUCCAAAAUUUUAAGAUGAUACAAAGCCUAGUCUAAUAGUGUUCUUAUUGGGUUACCACUUAACUGACCACCUACAAAUAUUUAAUGCUGCAAACUUCAUGCUUAAGACGGCUAGUUAUUUAUAAAAUAACAAUAUUACAGCAGAGGGGAAAUUACAUCAUCACUUUGUGAUUGGCAAAUAAUAAGAGCAAUAUAAAAUACCCUUUUACUAUGGAAAUUUAAGCAACCUCUACUAAAAAGUUGUUUUUUCUGUUUGACAGGUUCCUUUGUUCCACAACUUAGAUGACCUUAUUCUUGACAACAUCUGUGACAGGGUGAGGCCCCUAGUCUUCUCUAAAGAUGAAAAGGUAUUACUCAUGUAAACAAUUGACAUCAUUUGAUACCAUAUUUUCUUCCAAGCAUUACAUGUGCAAAAGACCAUCAUGUUGUUAAUGCCCUUGUGAAACAGAUAAUCAGAGAAGGUGAUCCUGUACCAAGGAUGAUGUUCAUCGUCCGAGGACGCAUAAAGCGCAGCCAAAGUCUGAGCAAAGGCAUGGUAGCCUUAAGCAUCCUUGAGCCAGGAGGGUUUUUGGGUGACGAGCUACUUUCAUGGUGCCUUCGCCGGCCAUUUAUAGAUAGACUUCCGGCCUCCUCAGCCACAUUUGUGUGUCUUGAAUCAGCAGAAGCCUUUGGCCUUGAUGCAGAGCACUUGAGGUACAUCACUGAUCACUUCAGGUACAAGUUUGCCAACGAGAGGCUGAAGAGAACAGCAAGAUAUUACUCAUCUAAUUGGAGAACCUGGGCU
rnacentral:lncRNA from 1 species